GCUUACGGCCAUACCACCCUGAGAACGCCCGAGCUCAUCUGAUCUCGGAAGCUAAGCAGGGUCGGUGGUUAAAUUGUGGUUAAGGUCUAACCCUAACCACAAUUUUUAAUGCCGAUCU
ensembl:rRNA 5S_rRNA 5S ribosomal RNA